UUGGAGGGCAAGUCUGGUGCCAGCAGCCGCGGUAAUUCCAGCUCCAAUAGCGUAUGUUAAAGUUGUUGCAGUUAAAAAGCUCGUAGUUGAAUUUCGGGAUCAAUAUUUCGGUCAUGCCGUUGGUAUGCACUGUUAUCAUUGAUUUCUCACCUUCUAAAGAACCGUAAUGCCAUUAAUUUGGUGUUACGGGGAAUUAGGACUGUUACCUUGAAAAAAUUAGAGUGUUUAAAGCAGGC
rnacentral:rRNA from 1 species